GACGAACGCUGGCGGCGUGCUUAACACAUGCAAGUCGAACGAUGAAGCUAGAGCUUGCUCUGGUGAAUUAGUGGCGAACGGGUGAGUAACACGUGAGUAACCUGCCCCGAACUCUGGGAUAACUGCUGGAAACCGGGGCUAAUACCGGAUAACAUUUUGAACCGCAUGGUUCGAAAUUGAAGGGCGGCUUCGGCUGUCACUUAUGGAUGGACCCGCGUCGCAUUAGCUAGUUGGUGAGGUAACGGCUCACCAAGGCAACGAUGCGUAGCCGACCUGAGAGGGGGAACGGCCACACUGGGACUGAGACACGGCCCAGACGCCUACGGGAGGCAGUAGGAGGGAAUCUUCCGCAAUGGACGAAAGUCUGACGGAGCAACGCCGCGUGAGUGAUGAAGGCUUUCGGGUCGUAAAACUCUGUUGUAGGGAAGAACAAGUGCUAGUUGAAUAAGCUGGCACCUUGACGGUACCUAACCAGAAAGCCACGGCUAACUACGUGCCAGCCGCCGCCGUAA
rnacentral:rRNA from 1 species